rnacentral:rRNA from 1 species
CAGUAGCCGCGGUAAUACGAAGGGUGCAAGCGUUAAUCGGAAUUACUGAGCGUAAAGCGUGCGUAGGCGGUUUGUUAAGUCUGUCGUGAAAGCCCUGGGCUCAACCUGGGAAUUGCGAUGGAUACUGGGCGACUAGAGUGCGGUAGAGGAUAGUGGAAUUUCCGGUGUAGCAGUGAAAUGCGUAGAGAUCGGAAGGAACAUCUGUGGCGAAGGCGACUAUCUGGGCCAACACUGACACUGAGACACGAAAGCGUGGGGAGCAAACAGGAUUAGAUACCCCAGUAGUCCCUGUCUCUUAUAC